GACGAACGCUGGCGGCGUGCUUAACACAUGCAAGUCGAACGAUGAAGCCGGAGCUUGCUCUGGUGAAUUAGUGGCGAACGGGUGAGUAACACGUGAGUAACCUGCCCUUGACUCUGGGAUAACUGCUAGAAAUGGUAGCUAAUACCGGAUACGACCCUCGGAGGCAUCUCCAGGGGGUGGAAAGAAUUUCGGUCAAGGAUGGACUCACGGCCUAUCAGCUAGUUGGUGAGGUAAUGGCUCACCAAGGCGACGACGGGUAGCCGGCCUGAGAGGGUGACCGGCCACACUGGGACUGAGACACGGCCCAGACUCCUACGGGAGGCAGCAGUGGGGAAUAUUGCACAAUGGGCGCAAGCCUGAUGCAGCAACGCCGCGUGGGGGAUGACGGCCUUCGGGUUGUAAACCUCUUUCAGCACCGACGAAGCGCAAGUGACGGUAGGUGCAGAAGGAGGACCGGCCAACUACGUGCCAGCCGCCGCCGUAA
rnacentral:rRNA from 1 species